rnacentral:lncRNA from 1 species
GGUAAUACAUUUUUAGAGUGGACAAUCCUUCAGUUUUAGUGGAUAGACUACCACUGUGAGUGAUAGGAUACAGCGGGUAGGCAACAGUAUCUGGCCCAAAAUUUAGAGUGAUCUACAUAAAAAUGAAUGUGGUUAGUGAUUAUCAGAAGCUUCCAAGUUUUUAUUAUAAACUAGGCAGAUAUCUUUAUUUGUUAAAGUACAUUUUAAGAUAUAACCAUGAAAACUAAUAUAUUUCUAGAAAAUGCUUUUGGAAGAGCAAUAAAAAUCUUACGAUGUACUGAAUAAUCAUUACAAAAUAAAUUGUAUUAUUUUAAAAUUUUUGUCUCUGUUAGACCAGAAGGUAGUUCUACAGAGGUAUGUAAUGGAUGCACUUAAAUUUGGAAAUGAGUCUCUUUCUGUCUCAGUCACUUUUCUCUGGCACUUCUUCUGUUGUUUUGCCUUUAUGGUUUUCUGUUUUAUCUAUGAAUGGAAAACCUUAAUACAUCAGCUUCUCUGGUUUCUCCUGUAAGCCUACAAUUUUAACAUCUCUUUAAUCUCUGGCAGAGCCACGUAUUCCACAGUGCCCUUUCCAUAGCACAUCUAAGCUCUGGAAGUCGUUGUUAUCUCACUGAUUGCUCCACUUGUAGCUCAUUAAUAGAUGACAUCACUAUUGUUCCUCCUUUGUUUAGGCAUGAAGGUAUCCUUGUUUGUAUUACAGAAAGUGGUUUGUCAAUUUCUGAUAAAACAGGCUCAUUCUUCGGAAGUAUUGCAAUGCCAUAAAAUAAUUUUAAGACAAUCACCACAUUUAGAUUGAAUAAAAUGUUAAAUGCUUCAUUAUUGCCAGAAUAAUGCCAUUAUGUUUCUAGUUUUCUUUCUAAAUAUUGUUUACUAGUGAAUUCAUUAUCAUGAAAACAUCCAGUUUGGUUAUCAGAAAGCUUCUACUAAACAGAUUCACAGAGAAACACAAAUGAAAAGGUGCUCAUGAAUCACUGUGCUUCAUGUUUUAGGUGGGGCUCAAUACAACUUUGGUAAGGUGAACCAUGUUAUCUUUUAAGGAUUGAAGACAAUCUUCAACUGAUGGCUCUAAGAUAACUAUUCCAGGAGAGUAUUGUGUUUCAGACUUCUUCAGCAGCAAGACAUUUUUGCUGCAUUAAAUCUCAUAUAGCUAGAUGUAUAUUUAUCUAUCUAUUAAUACCUGCCAUCCCAUAUUUAUAGAAAUAUGUAUUACAUACUACAUAUUACUAUAUUAAUAAUGUAAAUGUGGGGUUAUUCUUGCUGGAGGUCUGAUGGCAUACAGUUUAUUCUUCAUUUUCUUUGCAAUCUCUCAAAAGGUUUUGUUGGUUUGUUUUUAUAUACCUACAGCAGUAGGAAAUAGGCUUCACUUUAAGUAACUGAAACUGCUGGAACUACUUGUAAAAGUAUCCAGUGUCCCAAGAUAGUAGCAGACAGGUUGUUAUUUUAAGUUUGCAAUUGGACAAAACUGUAGAGUAGGACAAAUUUUCCCAGUACUUCAGUUGUCUUUUUGUGUGUGUGAAACUAUUAUGUUUUGCUAUAAAUUUUGUUCUCCUGAGGCAAGGGUUGCAGCUGAUUUCUCUCUGAAAUGUUGAACUUAUUUCACUUCUUAACUCACCACAUGUAACAAAUACAUGCUUAAAUAUGAUUCAUCCGAGGAAUAUAAGCAUUGUAAAAACAACAAUGCCAUAAGUCUUGAGAAAGGAAAAUUUAAGACUUCCAUCAAUGGUGGAUAAACUUGGACUUGGGAGUUAGGUGGAAGCUGACCCAGUGCCUCCAAAAUCAGGUCGCUUGAGAGACAAGCUUCCCUACCUAUUGAUCCCCUUCGCCUUGGCUGUCUCCCCACAUUUGUUACCUUAAUUAUAUGCAUGAUACGUAUGUAAAAGUUUGUUCUCACAUAAACAUUUCUAUUGCUCAUAAAAAUCCAUGUGGCAUUGAGCUAGUAUCCCUGCAAGGUUGCUAUCUUAGGGUUUCCAUCCCAGUGAAGAAAAACUCCCAGGUAUCUACAAAUGGCCUACCCUCCUUAUCCCCCUGCUCACCUAUUGCUUAUUUAAGUUCAUCAGGAAUAUAAUUUAUUGCCCAGUAAUAUGCCAUAAAAUAAUUUAUAUGUAAAUCUGCAUAAAUUAAUAGUAAUUUAUUUUAAAAAUUAAGAGCAUUUCAAGUCUAAAUACUCUGUGAUUAAGUGUGCUUAAGUGCAAUUAAUGUAAUGAAGUACUAAUAAAAUCCAACCACACGUUUGGAUAGUGUAAUAAUGUGCCAUGAAUAACUAUUAAUUUUUUAUCUGUUAAAACCACCCUUAUCAUCACACCGCUGGUUUUCCUGAUAUUAUGGAGGUGUAAUGGUUAUUAAUAUUUUUAAGUUUUAAAAUGAAGACAGUCUAUUUUACUUUAAGUUCUAUGUUAACUUUUGUAUGGCCUUGCUACAUAGAAGUCAUUCACCAGAAACUAUGAAAAUCCAAUUCAAGUCUGGCUAAGAUUAGUAAGAACAAGAAGGUUGCAAAAGACAUAUAUAAAUAAAUAGGUAGGCAUAUACAUAUAAAUGUAUAUGUGUGUAUGCAUAUACAAGAACAUUUGUAUACCUUCUGAUGUAUUAAACAUAGAUACCACACAUAAAAUACAUAUCUGUGCAUAUAUAAAUGCAUACACAUAUACCUGUACACAUUGAUUAUACUGGAAUUACAAAAACAGAAGUCAGUAGAAUCAGCUGGGGCAAUUCAACUUUUCUUAAGAUCAUAUCCUUAUAUCACUGAAGUGAGAUACUUUAUGUUAGAUGCAGCCAGCAGAAUCUGGGGCAGAAAUGAUCAAUACUUGUUACGUUGGGAUGUAGCUGAGGUGAGAGGUAGAUCUAGCUGAAGUCAGAGGUGUCUCAAAUUCCCAGUGUAUGAAAAUCAGUAAUAAUAUGGAACUGUAAAGUCAAAAAAUCCAUGCAAAAGGACAUCAUGCAAUUCCAAAGAAAAUCCUAACUCUAAAGGUAAUAAAAGACAUAACUCUUUUAAAAGUUUACAUUUAGCUUUAUAUAUUGCUUAUUUUUUCUUACACAUCCUUUCUAGUCAGUAAAUACUAGGAGAAGAAUGGUUAGCUUGCUUUUCGUUGGAAUUCUCAAGCUAAUCAAUAAGUUCUCUUGUUCAGGUUCUUGUGUUCUUCUGUUUUUUCAGCUAUUAAAAAAAUUGAAACAUUUUGUAAGCAAUUCCCUAAUAACUUUUUUUAUAUUUUGUAAGACAAAGGAUAUGAACUACAGUGAAAACUGGAAACUCACUUUGGACUAGUCAUUUUGAAUGUAUGCU